GGAUGCUCUCUGGGUUGCAGCCACAGGAGCCAGUCUGGGCUAGCACCUCUUACUGACCACAGGCAGUGGCAAGGGCUAGGAAGGAACCCUGCUGCUUUAGCCACAGAGAGGAAAUUUAAUGCAGAAAGGAGCUGCUUGGAUUACCUGGCUGCCACUUCACCUUGAAACAUCACUGCCAGUUGGAACCAGCAACAACAUGAGUUUUCUGGAAAUCCCUGGUUCAGCCCUCAAUGCGUCUCACAAGGUGAGAGCCAUUGUAUAAGUGGGGGCUUGUUCAGGAUUCAAACACGCUUGUGAUGCACUUCUUUUGAGCAGAAGUAGUAUGCAACUGACUGGUUAGAGAAACCGCAGCUGAGGUUUCAACCAAUGUCCCAUCAAAGGCCCCAAGUGAAAGCAGAUUUGGGUAAUACUAGCUAUGUUUCCCACCUGCAAGCAGCUGGAUCCCAAGCGCACGGGCACUUUGCAUGACGGAUUGUGAACAUCAUUACUGGCUGAGUAGUGUUUAUUCACAUGAGCGAUGCCAUUGGUAUCAGCAGGUGGUACCCACCCCUGUGGGACAGGCUGAUUCCUUGGCAGGAUCAAGCUCUUCAUUGGUUUUCGUGGACACUCCUGAGAUGAGUUUGUGGGAGGACCUUAACUGGCAGUGC